GACGAACGCUGGCGGCGUGCCUAAUACAUGCAAGUUGAGCGCUGAAGGUUGGUACUUGUACCGACUGGAUGAGCAGCGAACGGGUGAGUAACGCGUGGGGAAUCUGCCUUUGAGCGGGGGACAACAUUUGGAAACGAAUGCUAAUACCGCAUAAAAACUUUAAACACAAGUUUUAAGUUUGAAAGAUGCAAUUGCAUCACUCAAAGAUGAUCCCGCGUUGUAUUAGCUAGUUGGUGAGGUAAAGGCUCACCAAGGCGAUGAUACAUAGCCGACCUGAGAGGGUGGUCGGCCAAAAUGGGACUGGGACACGGCCCAAACUCCUACGGGGAGCAACAGUAGGGGAUCUUCGGCAAUGGACGAAAGUCUGACCGGGCAACGCCGCGGGAGUGAAGAAGGUUUUCGGAUCGUAAAACUCUGUUGGUAGAGAAGAACGUUGGUGGGAGUGGAAAGCUCAUCAAGUGACGGUAACUACCCAGAAAGGGACGGCUAACUACGUG
rnacentral:rRNA from 1 species